UACGUAGGGUGCAAGCGUUGUUCGGAAUUAUUGGGCGUAAAGUGCGCGUAGGCGGCUGCCUAAGUCUGGUGUGAAAGCCCGGGGCUUAACCCCGGAAGUGCACUGGAUACUGGGCAGCUAGAGGGCGAGAGAGGGAAGUGGAAUUCCUGGUGUAGGGGUGAAAUCCGUAGAUAUCAGGAGGAACAUCGGCGGCGAAGGCGGCUUCCUGGCUCGUUACUGACGCUGAGGCGCGAAAGCGUGGGGAGCAAACAGG
rnacentral:rRNA from 1 species